GACGAACGCUGGCGGCGUGCUUAACACAUGCAAGUCGAACGGAAAGGCCCCUUUGGGGGUACUCGAGUGGCGCACGGGUGAGUAACACGUCAGUAACCUGCCCUUGACUUCGGGAUAACUUCAUGAAACUGGGGCUAAUACCGGAUAGGAAUCCUUGCUGCAUGGUGGGGGUUGGUAAGCCUCGGCGGUUUUGGAUGGACUCGCGGCUUAUCAGCUUGUUGGUGGGGUAGUGGCUUACCAAGGCUUUGACGGGUAGCCGGCCUGAGAGGGCGACCGGCCACAUUGGGACUGAGAGACGGCCCAGACUCCGACGGGAGGCAGCAGGGGGGAAGAUUGCACAAGGGGCGGAAGCCUGAUGCAGCAACGCCGCGGGCGGGAAGACGGCCUUCGGGUUGUAAAACGCUUUCAGCAGGGGCGAAGCUUGUGGUGACGGUACCUGCAGAAGAAGCACCGGCUAACUACGUG
rnacentral:rRNA from 1 species